UACAGAGACUGCGAGCGUUAUUCGGAUUCACUGGGCGUAAAGCGUGCGCAGGCGGUUCGUUGUGUCGGCGGUGAAAGCCCCGGGCUCAACCUGGGAAUGGCCGUUGAAACUGGCGAACUGGAGUGUGGCAGAGGGGGGUGGAAUUCCGCGUGUAGCAGUGAAAUGCGUAGAGAUGUGGAGGAACACCGAUGGCGAAGGCGAACGGCUGGAUCUCUUCUGACGCUGAGGCGCGAAAGCUAGGGGAGCAAACGGG
rnacentral:rRNA from 1 species